rnacentral:rRNA from 1 species
CCUACGGGAGGCUGCAGUGGGGAAUAUUGGACAAUGGGGGCAACCCUGAUCCAGCCAUGCCGCGUGUGUGAAGAAGGCCCUCGGGUUGUAAAGCACUUUCAGUGAGGAAGAACGCCUGGUGGUUAAUACCCAUCAGGAAAGACAUCACUCACAGAAGAAGCACCGGCUAACUCCGUGCCAGCAGCCGCGGUAAUACGGAGGGUGCGAGCGUUAAUCGGAAUUACUGGGCGUAAAGCGCGCGUAGGUGGCUUGAUAAGCCGGUUGUGAAAGCCCCGGGCUCAACCUGGGAACGGCAUCCGGAACUGUCAAGCUAGAGUGCAGGAGAGGAAGGUAGAAUUCCCGGUGUAGCGGUGAAAUGCGUAGAGAUCGGGAGGAAUACCAGUGGCGAAGGCGGCCUUCUGGACUGACACUGAUACUGAGGUGCGAAAGCGUGGGUAGCAAACAGGAUUAGAUACCCCGGUAGUC